rnacentral:rRNA from 1 species
UGGGGAAUAUUGCACAAUGGGGGAAACCCUGAUGCAGCGACGCCGCGUGAGCGAUGAAGGCUUUCGAGUCGUAAAGCUCUGUCCUAUGGGAAGAUAAUGACGGUACCAUAGAAGAAAGCCCCGGCUAAUUACGUGCCAGCAGCCGCGGUAAUACGGAAGGGGCGAGCGUUGUCCGGAAUUAUUGGGCGUAAAGCGCGCGCAGGUGGUUUAGAAAGUCUGAUGUGAAAGCCCACGGCUCAACCGUGGAGGGUCAUUGGAAACUAAUAAACUUGAGUGCAGGAGAGAAAAGUGGAAUUCCUAGUGUAGCGGUGAAAUGCGUAGAGAUUAGGAGGAACACCGGUGGCGAAAGCGGCUUUUUGGCCUGCAACUGACACUGAGGCGCGAAAGCGUGGGGAGCAAACAGG